GCUUGUGAGGGCAAUCUGGCUGAGACAUCCAUCACCUCAUUGAUCCCCAGGGUUGAUCUGGCUGGUGAGGCGGAUAUCCCCUUCCUCCCUCACUGCCUCAUGUGAGUCCCUCCCAAUGUCAUGUACUCUGUCUAAGAGGAUGACCUUCCCAGUGAAGCACCGUUCUUUGGUCUGGGGUAGAUGAGAAGCUGUGCUCCACCGCUAGAGCCUCCAAGCAAGCUCUCAAGGUCAAUUUUUAGGACAACUUAGGGUAAUCCAGGCUUCCAAGACUUCAGACAUCCAAACAAAAUUGUGCAUGUGGCAGUCUGACUUUCUUU
ensembl:misc_RNA 7SK 7SK RNA